GGCGUGUUUUUGGGUAGCAACCAGAAGCAUCAGCGACAAGACACACGACUUUAAUAAAUGCACUGAUUUCUGAAUGUGAAACAGAAAGGUGUUGGCAAGUAAUGUGCAGUACAUGCCUGCACAUCCACUCAGACAGAUGAAGAAAAGCUUUUUAGUGAAUGCACAGAGUGUCUCCUGGAGAUUGCAAGGAUUACCAAAUUGUACCAGGGACAGUUGGGGAUAUUGGCCUUAGUGGCAUGCGUGAAUACACACCACCAAAGAAAAGAGUGGAUCGGUGUGGACAUUGACUGAUCGCGUCAAGCUUGUUUGAGGUAAGUGCUAGUCAUUGCAGCUGUGGUAGCUUGGUGCUAUUAUUCCGUGUCUCAUCGCAAGGCAGAUCUGCUGAAGACUGAACUGCUAGACCCCAACAAAGAUGGCUUUGUCACUCGCAAACCAAACUGGAGCCAUCAUCUUCCGAAUGGCAUUCAGGUUCCCUUGAUCUGAACUCUUGCUACAAGGAAGGUACAAUUCUCAGUUACAGACGAUCCAGUGGAUGAAAGCUUAAUUUCUUCACUGAAACUGUGAGACCCAAGGACACAGUGGCGUGUUACCGUGUGCGCUGGGAGGAGCUUGAUGUGUACCGUGCUGUAGAACAUGCCAUGGCCUAUAAUGGCAAUCACUGGUAUGGUGGGACAGAGUCCAGGUCCCAGCACUGGCCAAUUGUUUUUGUGGGAAUCCAGGAACCCAAACCUUUAAUUACUAGUGAUAUCAAUUCGAUUCAGCAAGACUUUGGGGGCAUCCUGGAGUGCUAUUGGCUCUCCUCCAGUGCAACUGCUAUCAAAAUCAAUGACUCAGUCCCUUUUCACGUGGCUGGGAUGAGAACAGCAAGAUGCUGUGAUUCCAGGCAAGCAACAACAACAACAACAUCAACAACAAAAACAACAACAACAAGAAAGAAAACAAUGGUAAGUAAAAUCAGUUAUUGGUUUUAUGGCAGUUGGUAGACCAGCUUAUGAUGCAUUACUGCCACCUACUGAGCUUUAUGAAUUAUAAUUUAAAUGUAUAAUAUCAAAAUUAUUCAAUAUUAUAUAACUCUAAAGAGUCUAAGGACUGAAAAAUGUUUUUCCGUACUAUACUUAUUCCUGAAUUAUGUAGGUCCUUUAGUGUAAAGCCAUUAUAUCUCUUUUGUUCCAGUGUAGCUUCAUAUCUUUGUGUGAUAUACUGUAUGCUUCACAGUGUAAUAUUUAUUGACCUACAUCUUAUGUUUACCUGAAGACCACCCUGACACUUCAUGAAAGGGUAAAUACAAUAAAAGUUAAAUGUAAAAAUAAAAGUUUUUAAAUCGCAUUUUCUUAUCAAUCAGAAUUACAGUAGCUGUUGAUGAGUGGUUAGAAAGUAUGUUUUAGCCAGUUUUUAUUGUUUCUAUUUUCCAGUGAGAGGCUGUUUAUGAGUAAUAAAAAUAGAGUUUGAAACAAUUUUGGACGUUUUCUCUCGCUUGAACUUGAACCAGGCGAGUUCAGGGAACAUUUUUUCGUCUGUUCAUUUUAACUGUGAAAAAUAUUGUUUGAAACCAUUUAGGAUAUUUUCUCCUGCUCGAAUCCCUGCCAGGACUCGUACAAAAUCCAGUGGGUAUCCUCUGCUUCAGUCAGAAAGUCCUCAGCUAAACCCAUUCAAAGUGAGCAUCGUCUUGAAGGGAGUUUGGUGAUGGAUGAACUGGCCGACCUGCCACAGGCCUUCUGCGUUCUUUUCGGACUGAUUUAUGCCCUGUACUUGAACUGUCCUAAGUGUAUGAAAAACAGUUUCCACUUUAUUCAGCAGUUAAUACUCAACCUGGGAGGUAAGCUGUUCCCAAAAUUCAAUCUUUGAAAAAUCAGCUAACAGUAAAACGGGCCUCCCAAUUGUUCUACCACUGUUCCACUAGCAAGUGGUUCAUUUGUAAUGUUGAAGUGCAUCUUUUAUGAUAUUGGCUCUGAUUUUGUGGUUUGAUUAAAUUCAUAUUUGCAAUGUUCCAUCUAUCCAUCCAUCCAUCCAUCCAUCCAUCUUCUACCGCUUACUCCUUUUCAGGGUCACAGGGAACCUGGAGCCUAUACCUGGGAGCAUUGGGCACAAGGCGGGGUACACCCUGGAGAGGGUGCCAGUCUGCAAUGUUCCUAUUUGAUAGAAAUUUGAAAUUUAUUUUAUUUAUAUAUACAGUGGUACAAUACUGAUGUCCAGUGAACAUUUCAUGUGAAUAGUCUCAUUUGAAAUAUAUUUACUGAAACAAAUAUUGAUGCAUCUAAUACUUAUUUCCCUCUCUGUAUGU